UGCAUCAUAAGCGGAGGAAAAGAAACCAACUGGGAUUACCUUAGUAACGGCGAGUGAAGCGGUAAAAGCUCAAAUUUGAAAUCUGGUACUUUCAGUGCCCGAGUUGUAAUUUGUAGAAUUUGUCUUUGAUUAGGUCCUUGUCUAUGUUCCUUGGAACAGGACGUCAUAGAGGGUGAGAAUCCCGUUUGGCGAGGAUACCUUUUCUCUGUAAGACUUUUUCGAAGAGUCGAGUUGUUUGGGAAUGCAGCUCAAAGUGGGUGGUAAAUUCCAUCUAAAGCUAAAUAUUGGCGAGAGACCGAUAGCGAACAAGUACAGUGAUGGAAAGAUGAAAAGAACUUUGAAAAGAGAGUGAAAAAGUACGUGAAAUUGUUGAAAGGGAAGGGCAUUUGAUCAGACAUGGUGUUUUUUGCAUGCACUCGCCUCUCGUGGGCUUGGGCCUCUCAAAAAUUUCACUGGGCCAACAUCAAUUCUGGCAGCAGGAUAAAUCAUUAAGAACGUAGCUACCUCGGUAGUGUUAUAGCUUUUUGGAAUACUGCUAGCUGGGAUUGAGGACUGCGCUUCGGCAAGGAUGUUGGCAUAAUGGUUAAAUGCCGCCCGUCUUGAACCGGACCAA
rnacentral:rRNA from 1 species